rnacentral:lncRNA from 1 species
GGCUGAAAGUCACAUGAGCUGAGCUCAAACAUUUUAAAAAAUUUUUCUUAGUAACAUUAUUUGAACAAAAUAAAAACCUGUCCCAGCAGUUCUCUCUACCAGGCACUUGGCAGAGGUCCCACAAGGUUCUCAGAAACUUGGGCCGGGCCCCAGCUCAUCCCAAGGAAUCUCUGGGCUCAGCUGCCUGUCUUAGGGAAUGCUUGCCUUGCCAUCAUGUGAAUUCAGGACAAAAACUGUUGGGAUUUAGAACAGCCUGGGUUCCAAUCUGCUGGGCUUACGAAAAAGAAAAAGCUGGGGAGAAGACAGAGGAAUGCUUUGGCUCAUGCAACAGAAAAGUCUGGAGGCAACCGCUUCAGGUAAGACUGGUUCCAUGGGCUCAAACAAUUUCAUCAGGACUUGGUUUCUCUCUGCCUUUUACAUACGCUUUCCCCUGUGUCAACUUCAUCCUUAAGCAGCAAAAUAGAUGUCAGAAGCCUGGAAACACAGACUUACAACUUGGCCACCCUUUUCCUAACAGUUCCAGGAAAAGCUAGAGUUAAACCUCACUGGAUCAGUGUGGGUCCCAAGCCCAACCCUAUUGGUUAUUGUGGAUGGAAUAUGCUGAUUAGCUGGGCCUGGAGCCAAAGGAAAAUGGGGUACAGUGUGUGUGGGGGAGGGUGAUUUAGGGGGGGAAAGGCGACAGGAAUGCUGACUGGGUAAGAAUGAGAGACGAUCACGGGGUGAUGUAGGGUAUAGGUCUCAGGCUGCUGUUGAUCCAUCCAUUCACUUAGCAGAUAGUUAUUUAGCAACUGCUGCAUGCCAAGCACCACGGGAGGCCCUGAGGCUGAGUAACCAAACAGAUCUAGCACUAACUCUUAGGAAGAGCAGGUCCAGUGGGGAAGAUGAAUAACACACCAGCAAACACACAGAUACACGAGGUAGGUGUGGAGAGUGGAACUUCUGGGAAGGACAAAAAUGGAUGAGAACAAGGAACAAUGGUGUCAGGGGAGGGCAAGAUGAGUGGCCAUUUGGGCACCCAUGUGCACCAAGAAAGCAGAAAGAUCCAGCUCAAGGUGAAAAUCUGAACAGUCAGAUGGUUGGGGCAGAUGUGCAAAGCCAAGAGAACACAUUUCCCCCCAGAGAGAAGGGGAGAAAAGGAGGGAGAGAGACAGGCAGGGAUGGACAGGACUUACACCCAGUUUUCUCCUUUUAGUCUCAUACUCCUACCUUCUUAUCAUGAAUCCCCUUUACUCACAUUUGGCCAAAGGGUCUCUUUGUCUUGAAUAAAUCACCCUAAACUAUGGAAUUAACCAAAAAUUCAAGACGUCUAACCUCAUUACUUGCCCACAAGACACCAUUUUGUAGGCUCAUUCAUUCUUAAGUGACAUAAGAUACCCAAAACUUCACUGGGCUGUGACUGAAAAGUACCCACGCUUAAAAAAAUAAUACUAUAUGUGAAUACUUAAGUAUAUAUAUAGUGUACUCACAUGUACUUAAGGAUACACAGAAAGUGAGACAGCCAGUUCAGUAGCAGAUUUGAAAACCAAAGCACCAUUUCUUGAGCUCUCCACAGUGGGUCUGCAGGCUUGUGGGGGUAUAAGAAUGAUUCAGUGCUGGGGCGCCUGGGUGGCUCAGUCAGUUAAGCGGCCGACUUCGGCUCAGGUCAUGAUCUCACAGUUCAGAGGUUUGAGCUCCACAUAGGGCUCUGUGCUCAUAGCUCAGAGCCUGAAGCCUGCUUCAGAUUCUAUGUCUCCCUCUCUCUCUGCCCCUCCCUCACUCCUGCUCUGUCUCUCUCUGUCUCAAAAUUAAAUAAACAUUAAAAAAAAAAAAAGAAUGAUUCAGUGCUGGGGCACCUGGGUGGCUAAUUCCUCAAAGAUGCCCAAAGCAAAGUACACACACACACACACGCACAUGCACAUUCACAUAAGAGAGUACACACACACAGCACACACAGACACAUAAAUUAUAUCCAUUCCCAUACAUACACACACAAUGAAUACAUGCAAAGUGCAAACAUACACAUACAAAGCACAUGUAUACAAGGUACACAUACACAAACUACACACACACACACAAAUUGCACACAUGCACACAAAGCACACACAGUAAACACACACACAGAUUAUGAAAAGCGUUCAGAUUAAUUUUUGACUACUAUUCACCAAGGCCCUUCUCACAGCCAGGCACUGUGGUUGAAGGUGUUUUCACACCCAUGGUAAUAGCAAUGAUGGAAGAAGUGCUUAUCGAUCUUCCCUGUGUCCCUGGAAGGCCCGGUUUCAUCAGCAUUCCCCUUUUUGGAAGGAAAGGGCUUGCCCUGGGCCACACCUCUAAGACAUGGUGGAGCCUCUAGGACGGCUAGAGGGCCACACCUCUAGGACAGCUCUCCUCUUUGGUCAACUCCACACUGCUCUCUAAAUGUACAUGUGUAAGGGUCCAGGUCCUGCCACAUCCACUGUGUCUACACAAAUGAGCUCCCUGUGAUGCAGAUCUCAGCAUGUUACACAUCUCAGGGUAUAAAACGGUACUCUCUAUACUAUAGCCUACUAACGCCAUUCCAGAUUUAUUACAUUUAUUUAAAAACAACAAACAUUCUCAAUUAUUUCCACACUGCUCGGGACCAUAAUUUACUCAGAGGUAUGAGCUAUCAAGUUUCUCAGGGAUUGCUUCAAAAUGUCAGAUCUAAAAGAUGACUCCUAUGUUAGCAAAUAUGAAAUACCCAUUUGUAUUUUUCAUUUUUACUUUGAUUUAAUUUUCAGACAAUUCAACUUUCUCCCCAUGCCUGAGUGCCUAAAUUCAUUUCACCUGUCAAAAGAGACAAAUUUUCAUAAUUACAAAAUAAAACAUGGUGGCCUUCUUUGGUGACCGUAUAUUUCACAUCUUUCUUUUUUCUGUAUGAAAAUGCCUUUCUAGUCUAGUUGGCUUACUUCUGACAUAUUUUCGUUCAGUCUCUGCUUAGAACAGACAAGGGUACAGGCUAAACAUUCACUAAUGUUUUGUUAUGUUAAUGAACAUCUGUAAACAGAGAUGAAAUUUCCCAGCCGAGCCUGCCUUCGAUGCUCACAUCUUCUUUUCUGUAAUCUGUGCUGAAAACAGUCAGUGUUCUGAGAUUACAAGCUAUAGCAUGACACAUACCCCAUUCUAUAGUGGUUCCUUCUGCCUUGACCAAAAAGCCCUCAAGUCCUACCAUCAGGUUCAGUCAGGAUGUUCAUUUCAGAGAGGUCAGAAUCAUCUAGGGCUUUCUUACCAUAGCUGCCAGGGGCAGCUUACUAUGCACAGGACAUAGUAAGGGGAUUUUCUUUAAAAUAUUUUAUUUUCAUUUACAAAAGUAAUACAUGUUCUUUGUCUAAAAAUUUGGGGGGACAGAAACAGCAACAGUCAGAAACAGAUGACCUACAACUCCACCGUCCAAAGCAAAACACAGCCAACACGCUGAUGGAACUUCAGACUGUUCUUUUAAAACAAAAUUCACACAUACACACACAAAAAUAAAUAAAUAAAUGAAAAUAAAAUUCACUUUUGACUUGGUUGGGCUUUUGAAUCCUUGAAAAUGGUUAAUCAUUAGAAACCUACUCUAUUAGUUGCCAAGGGGUUAAAGACGAAAAGGGAAGAAAACAUUUACUUCUUUGAAGCUGUCCACCUGAGGUGCAAGGUUCUGUCCCACAGAGUGUUGAAAUGCCCAGUCUGGGCACCAGCCCUACUCCCCCACCCUUCACUCCUGCACCUGGACACACAGAUCAUUCCCAAAAGGUGAUAUAAUUUAAAAUUCAGUGGCCGGUACAGGGCACCUGGGUAGCUCAGUUGGUUAGGCAUCCGACAUUGGCUCAGGUCAUGAUCUCACGGUUCAUGCGUUUGAGCCCCGCAUCAGGCUCUGCGCUGACAGCUCAGAACAUGGAGUCUGCUUCAGAUUCUGUGUCUCCCUGUCUCUCUGCUCCCCCCACCUGUUCACGCUCUGUCACGUUCUCUCUUUCAAAAAUAAAUAAACAUUAAAAAAAAAUUCAGUGGCCAGUAAAUUCUGAAAAGGAUAAGAGUAAUGAGAAUCUGUGGAAUGAAGAGAAUAUACAAGGCAAGAUGCAAUAUCAGAGUGGGGUCAUUUUCAGGAGCAGAUGUUAAAGGUACAGAGCAAUGAAAACUUGAUGCAUAUACAUAUAUACCCCAUUUAUACAGAAAUCAUGACUGUCAUAGAUCAAGGUCUCUGGGAAGCUGGCUUUGAAAAGGAUAUGUGCAUACAGUAGGCUUCUUAGGCAGUGCUCACAGAAUUGCCACCCAUGCAAGGGACAGGAUGGAAGCAGGAAUGGAUUGGAUGCGGGGGGCAAGUGAGCUGAAAUGCUCAACAAAAGCCUUGGCUGAUCCCAUGGGGAGCUGUGAAGCCAGGAUGGUUCUUGACAGGUGUCCCACGAUGGUAUGAGAGACCAGUACACUUGCUUCAUCAGCCAGUCAUUGGAUGUGGGCCACUGUGGGCCAAAUGAGGCUCUUCAGAGGACAGAAUUCCUACAGCUGGUGAUGUCAAGGGCUGUGUGUCAGCAGAGCUCCAGCAAUCCUCCAGGGAAUCUGGGUGGCUGGUUACAGCAUCCCCUAGGCUACAGGGAUGCUACACAGUGUAGCAAUGCCUCCUUCACCCAAAGAAAAGGCAUACAGGUAACCAGAUCCCUGCUAUUGAGAUCCACUCAGAAAUCAGAGGCAGAAGUCCAUUUACUUCUGGAGAAACUCACAAAAGAAAAAGUCAGGGGCCAUUCUGAACACUGCCUAAUACGCUAAUCACCAGGGCGGUAUGGACAAUGGGGGUAGCCUCACCUUGAGGGACCACAGGAUUAAUUUAUCAGGAAUUCCGAUUUUAGUUGCCAGCAGAGCUCCACACCCAGAUCAGUGGCUGGUAAAACUCAGUAUUUCUAAAACACAAUGAUUGAGAGAGCAGACACCUGGUCCCCUUCAUUCCGGCAGAGGUGCCAGUGCCCUGAGCAGGGUCCACAGCCCCACACAGACCUCACUGCUGCACUAUCUACCAGAGGUUGAGAGGCGCCAGGCCAAGGAAGCACUCUCCGGAGCAGGCCCCACAUGGUCCCAUGGGACGUCAUACAGAACUCCUCUGUCAGACUCUGCACCCAAGUGCCUUUUCACUCAACAAGGCCCGCACUACCAUUCACAUUUCACAAAUGAGGUAACAAAGGCCCAACAUCUUGUCCAACACCCCCUAGAGAACAUAGCAGCACCAGAAUUUGCACCCCAUUGGGGGAGGGGGCAACUUUGGGUUCAUUCCAUUAUGCAUGAUUGCCCUCAGGUAUCUGUUGGCAUGACCAUGAAUUAGGCUGUUUACACCUCCGUUGACAACAGUGACGUUUUUCUAUGGUCCGAGCUGCAGCCUUAUUUCAUUACCGUCAUUACUGUCUAUUGCAGAGGGGCGUGACGCUCUCUGCUCCUGGUGAAUUGUAAGUCUGUGGCUCCCUAGCAGGGAGGACCGUCAAUCUCUACAGGAUGACAGUGCACAGCAAGACACAGCAUCUCACUUCAGCUUCAGGAAGACAAAGCUGAGCAUCUUCUCUUUGAGAAAAUGAUUUUGCUCAUCAUUUGUCUAGUGUCCUAACUACAGGGAGAGAAAAGUUGCUUUAAAGCUGGUCUCUUUUGUCUUUUUCAAGCUGAAUGUGUCCCAUCAAACCUAAAGAAUUAGCCUUUCAACGGAAUACCGCAGCAAAGAUAAAAUACACGGCAAUAAAUUAUAAAUUCAUAAUGAAAUCCCAAAAGAAUUACAUUUACCUAGAUGUCACUCACCUUACAUGGCCACAUAGAGACUAUCACAGGGUGUGAUAUAAUCCAUACUUUAGUAAGAUCAGAAAACACAAUAUAAGUACCAGCUCUUCAUCAGGUUACCUCACUAGCCUGAGCCUCAGAUUUCAUCUACGAAAUAUGAGGGUGUGUCUGGGCCAUCUUUAAGAUUCCUUCCAGUUCUAGCAUUUCCUAGUCAGGAUCCACAGAGCCCUAUUUUGUUCUGCUUGCCAUGGAAAAGCUGUGAAACUACCACUAUCACCACAAGAUCACUCCCUAAAACAACAACAAGCUUCCCUGCAGGGUUUAGUGCCCCAUGAUAGGACACAGAAAGUGCUUAUGUCAUAAGUUUUUUUUUUUUUUAAAUGUUCUUGUUUUACCAUGGAUGCAGUAAUAGAAACAUUAGCAGACAGAGAUCCAAAGCAAGCUGUACUACCCCCCAAAGCUCACUGCAAUGUUUAGGCCAUAAAUUGAAAUUAGAAUUACAAAAAUGACACUCUAGAAAUUAUUUUUAAAACUAAAAACAUCUCUAAAAAAAAAAUGAAAUGGCAUUCCAACUCAGUGGUUCUGCAGGCAACCCCCCCAAGUGAGAAUGUCUCAAUUACGGCGAAGUCGCCGUUACCCUCUCGACUGAAAUUGCAUGAGAGAGCUGUGUGAUUUACAUUUGCAGUUUAUAAAAUAAAUUAGGCAGAAAAGAAUCUCAUAAUCUCAAACACAUUUAGUUUACCAGAUUCCGCCAAGGUAAGUAGACAAAGCAUGUAAUCCUUGAAGCAGCAAACAAUGACACUAAUGAUUCAUUAAUACGUUCAUCAGAAGAAAUUUGAUAAAUGUAUAGAUAUUCUCUUUCAGCCAACACUAGGAAAUGGAUCAGCAAAACUGCCCAAGACACACUUCCACCCAAACUCUGACUCCCAUCAUCAACUGAAUGGCCUGUGACAGGAGGGGUAAGGGAGGACUGACACCUAAGUUGCUAUUUUUCAAUGCUAUGCACACAGGCUUCAUUAGGAAGUCAGCGCAUUAUGUUUAGGACCAUACAGAACGGGUGGGUAUGGACCACAGCUCCACCUUGGCACAGCAGCUGUCACCUCCUGCCUCCAUCACUAUAGUGGCUUCCCAAUUGGUGUCCCUGCUGCCACCAUUGACCUUCUUUCAUCUUUAUCUUCCACAGAACAGCCAGAGGGACGCCUUAAAACUCUAAGUCAGUUCCUGCAACUUCUCAGUUCGACGCCACUUGAGCAGAGGGGCGACGCCCUCAAAGUCCUACGGGAUAGGGCCCCAUCUUAUCUUUCUGAGCUCAUUUCCUAUAUCCUCCUCCCUCACACAUUCUGUUCCAGCUACACAGUCCUCUUUGUUACUUCUCGAACUUUCCGGGCAAGCUCCUAGCUCAAGGCUUUUGUGGUUGUGGUUCUUUUUGCUCUUCCUUCAUCCAUAUGCGUGGGGACCUCCCUCUCCACUUUGAAGGCUUGGCUCACAGGUUACCUGCCCUAACCAUUGCCUUACUACCAUUACCUGCCCCUUAUCCCCACCCCUGUGCGCUGUCAUACCCCAUACCCUGGCUGACCUUUUAUUCUGUCCAGUAAAAUUGAAAGAAUCCAACAUACUAUUUAAUGUACUUAUUUUUAUGUCUUUUGUUUAAUAUCUAUAAGCUCCAGGAGGGCAGAAAUCUUUGUUUUGUGAUAUCAAAUCCCCAGGGCCUAAAAGAGUAUCUGGGAAGAGCAGACACAAAAUAAAUAUGUGAAGGAAGGAAGGAAGGAAGGGGGGAGGGGAGAAGGAGGGAAAGGGGGGGAAGGGAAGGGAAGGGAAGGGAAGAAGAGAUAGAGGAGAAAGUAAGAGAGGGAAGAAGGGAGGGAGGUAGGCAGGGAGGGAAGGAAGGAAGGAGGGAGGAAGAGAGAGAGGAGGGAAGAAGGGAGAGAGGAAGGGAGGAAGGAGGGAGGAGGGAAUAUGUAAUAAUGACAAGAAUUGUUAUAUUAAGAUGAUAGAUUUAUCCUUUUCUCAUUUCUAACCUUUUUUGCUAUUAUUAUUGUUGUUAAGUUGUACUGGAAAUUAUUUUCAAAAUAUCUACAUAGCAAAUCACUUGCAUUCUCAGGUAAUAUGUCUUAAAAGUGCUUUUUUGUUUUCAAAGUGGUGACUUAACUUGAGUAUGUCAUUGAGAAUUGUAAAAAGAAUCAAGCUAUGCUAAAUCCUUUUUUUAAUGUUUAUUUAUUUUUGAGAGAGAGAGAGAGAGAGAGAGCGAGUGAGCCUGAGCAGGGUAGGGGCAGAGAGGGAGGGGGACAGAGGAUCUGAAGCAGGCUCUACUGUGCUGAUGGCAGUGAGCCCAGCCUGAGGUGAGGCUCAAACUCAUGAACUGUGAGAUCAUGACCUAAGCUGAAGUGGGCCAGUGACCAGACAUGUUAGAAAGAAUACCACCUGGAUCUGCCAUCCCUCCACGUUCUUCCACAUCAGGUCAAACACUCUAUCCGUCUUCCUAACCCCGUUUUGAGGCCCGCUGCUCAUUAACUGUUUCUUAUGCUUUUCUGAGUAUUUCUGGAUUUGACAGCCUAGUUCCCAGAGUCUAGCAUCCUAGAGUUAAUUCAUGUAACUGAAAUAUAUGAACCUGACCAAGGAGGAAGGAGAGAACAGAGAGAGAAUGGGGGAACGGAGGAGACAAAGUGUGGUGGUGUUGCAGGAUUUUUUUUUUUUUUUUUUUUUUUUUAAAAACCCCGGGUUUUUUUUUUUUUUUUUUUUUUUACAAUACCCAGGAUUUGUUGUCUUGCCGCUUUGAAGAAUGAAGAGGGGGGCGCCUGGGUGGCGCAGUCGGUUAAGCGUCCGACUUCAGCCAGGUCACGAUCUCGCGGUCCGUGAGUUUGAGCCCCGCGUCGGGCUCUGGGCUGAUGGCUCAGAGCCUGGAGCCUGUUUCCGAUUCUGUGUCUCCCUCUCUCUCUGCCCCUCCCCCGUUCAUGCUCUGUCUCUCUCUGUCCCAAAAAUAAAUAAACGUUGAAAAAAAAAAAAAUUAAAAAAAAAAAAAAAGAAUGAAGAGGUGGAUACAAAAUGAGCAGCAGGCAAAAGUUUAUUAGAGUAUAAGAUCAGAAAGGAAGAAGAGUAGGAAAGGUCCCUUUACAGAGAAUAUUGGAAAGCGAAUGCCAGAGGACUACAGGUAAGGGUGCUUGUUUUAUCAGGUUCUGGUUGGCCUUCCCCUCCCCUUCCCCCUUGUUCCUUCUCAGGUUCUAUCCUUACUGGCUUGAUUAUCUCGAGGUGUUGGGUGUCCAUCCAUGAUUGGCUAGUUUCCAUUGUAUGAGGGGUGGUCUUCUGUCAAAUUCCUGAGGGGAAACCUGAGAGGGAGUAGGUGGAGUCCUUGAAGAUGAACCUUAUGCCUGAGGGUGUUUGCUGUGGUCAGACACUCCCAGCAUUGUUCCAAAAUAGGUGUUUUUCCCCACCCAGGGACUUCAGGCCCUAAUCUUUCCCUCUCUGCCUAUGGAAUCCUAUCUUCUCCUAUCAUAGUGGGAAAGAGAGCACACGCGCCCCUGGGGAGCACUGGGUAGGGAUCACCUGUGGGAAACAUCAAGUUGGCCCCGUGUGUUUGAAGAAGGUGCCAUAUGUAGAACUUUAUGAGCAGUUCAAAGGAUUGUCAGGGGUCAUUUAGACUCCACGUGAUAUUUGUUUGAUGCUCUGAUUUUGGACUCCAAGCCUAGAGUUGGAUUUGGCCACGUUAUCUGUUUUGUUUCCCAAGGCCAUCCUUGCCUUGAGUUUGCAUUAAAGCUUUCACAAGAAACCCACCACAUCACAUCAGUGCCCCACACCCACUGUUACUGACACCCAGUCCACUCUACACACACACACACACACACACACACACACACACACACACACACACACACCAGCUCACCUCACCACUGGUCUAAAAUGGGUGAGAUGCCAUGUAUGUUAUAGCAGUAAGGAAGAAAGAGGUUUGUGGGAAGGUACCAGCUGGGCAGCAAAUAAGCAAACUUAUUCAGUGAGCAAUCCUUUUUUUUUUUUUUCUUAGUGUUUUAUUUAUUUUUGAGAGACAGAGACAGAGUGUAAGCAGGGAGGUGCAGAGGGAAAGGAAGACACAGAAUCCAAAGCAGGUCCCAGGCUCUGAGCUGUCAGCACAGAGCCCGACGCAGGGCCCGAAUUCACGAACCACAAGAUCAUGACCUGAGCCUAUGUCAGAGACCCUUAACCAACUGAGCCACCCAGACACCCACUGAACAAUCUUGAAGAAGCACCAACUCAGUGCCAAAGCUGUUGAAUGAGUAGAACUAAAAAGUGACAGAUAAAUAAAUGAACAAUCAAUGCCUAUUCAACACAAUGUCCUAAAAAAGAUGAACUCUAUAGCUUUCAAAGCAGUUCUAGUUCAUUCAAAUGAGUUCUAGAACCUCUAGCCCACUGCAGUGAUUCUGAAGACCCAGCAGCAUCUGCCAGUUUCCUUGGAAAAGCGGCCAAGUGUCUAUAGUCUCCUGGACAUUCUGAAAGAAGAGUAGCUCAUAUAUUCCAUUAUCUACUUAUUCAUGUGUGUAUUAUAUUCAGAAAAAAAGUAUAUAAUUUAAACUCUGACCCACUCAAAUAUAUUUUGAUAAGCUGAUUUAUUCAUCAAAUAUCAAUAGAGCAGAAAUUAUAUGGCAAGAACUUGCCCCAGAACUCCUUUUCGGUGCACAAAUCCUAGGCACUUUCUUCUACAGAGAUCAACAGUCCAGUAAUGAGCACAUCAAAAGAUGUGAGAGCAAAUCCAAAUUCCACUGCACAUUUUUGCAUUUCUACAUUAUGUCCUUUUUCCUCCCUUCUUAGGGGGGACAUUCGCUUUAGAACAGAAGUGUCAAGGAGAUACUAAAUACAUAAAUCCUGUUGUUUCAGUAUUUAUCUUUUUGCCCUCAUGUAUUUUUGGCUUCUAUUUAUAAGAACCCAAAUUAAACUUUCAAGGUCAAAGUGAUAUCUGACAGAGACAUGGAAAUUCUUAGCUAGUUGUAUAGAGAUGGUGCUUACAAAAUACCCAAAGGACAUAUUGUAUAUUUUUAACUUGCUCUUAAGACCUCUGAAUUCAAAUGUGAGGCCUUGCAUACAAAGGAUCAAGACAAAUUAUGCUAUAUGAAAGAAGAAAGCGUUUGUUUUUUUGUUUUGUUUUGUUUUUUUUCCUUUUGCAAUAGAUGAAAGAUGCUUCCCUCCUCUAAUGAGUCAUGAAUGACUCAUCUACUCUUGGGAAAAUCUCAAGUGGCCAGUGAUUUGAUUGCUUUUUCUGCUGUAAACACAUCUAAGAAGCAGAGCAUAAGAGGUAAACAAUAAAGGACCCUGUGAAAUUCAAAUAAUUUUAUGUGUUUCUUUACCAAAUGACACCAUCCUGAAAGCAACUUUUAAUGCAAAAUAUGAGUUCUCUUUCAUAUUGGUAAUAUUUAAGUGUGGUCACUGAACCAACCGAUUUUGGCUGAGUGCAAUUUGGAGGGGUGUUCCUUCUUAUCCUGUAAUAGGAUUCACCAUAAUAUUGACCCAAUUCAAUCAUUUCAUAAAUGAAAGCCACAGGAUGACUUUCAUCUUUUCCUAUGUCUUAUUGAUAAGACACCAUCUAUCUUCAUUUCUGUUUCUUUCUCUCUCCAGACCCUCAAACUAUUUUGAUAACUUGCAAAGCUAAGAAAUGUUCAAUGUUGAGGAAAAACACCAGAGAACUUUUUGAAAUUCAUUGUACCCCAAAGGCUGACAGCAAGAAUAUACUUUCUGGUACAUAAGAAAGAAAAAUAUAUUUGGUAUGACUGGCUGUUAAUAUGUCAUCAAGAUAAAUCAUAAGUCUUAUUCUUGGGAAUCUUAAUAAAAGAAGUCACUUGAGACGUGGAAAGUACAAAAAUAAUCACCAAUAGGCUCUAUCUUUGACUAGAACCUGGGGAAAUUUUGAAAGUGUUCAUUCAUAUAGACACUUAAAAAGACAUAGCCCAAAUUUAUCAUUGUCAUAAAUUCUUGCUGACUAAAAGUUUCCUUAGAGUAAUUUACAAUACCCAUCAUAAAAUACUUCAUCAAAAGGAAACACUUCGAUUUAAUACAAAACCGUAAACUCCCAAGGACUCGGGGACAAUGGUCUCAUCCGGUCUCCAGAGAAAAUGGAGUGAUCUAUGACUCCUAUAUGCCUCAAGACUUAGUCUGGCUUUCAUCUGACGUCCCUACCUUGGGGUUGUCACACAGCUCUGGCAAGUCUGUUUCCCUGUGGGGAUCCUAUAAGAGAUGUGCUUUGAAAUAACACUCUGGUUCUUCAUCAUCUUUCCUGGGGGCAGGAGGAGAGGAAGAAGGCUGCCGCACACCAAGUGGUUGAUCAGAAGAAGUGCUCUGUGAUUAGCACAGCAAACACCUUGAAUCCAUGUUCUAGCCUCAUGAUGGAGGGAAGCUAUUCCACACUGGAUGUUUCUAGAUGCCUCAAUCACUCUAUUGAGGCAAGUGUUUUACUUUGUCUUCAGGCCAAGAAAGCUGUUAGCUAGCUAGUGGGACCCUCUAAAGAUAAAGAAGUCUGCACACCAAAGAACAGAACCAUCAGCUUUCCAUCUUUCUCCUGUUCUUCGCUACAGACUGUUAAAGCAAUUAGUCUGAACUCUGGCACCAGCUCUGACGAAUGCCCCUGUGCUCCAGCCCAGUUUUCACUGCAGCUGGAAUCCUCCGUCUAAACGCUCUUGCUGACACUUCUAAUUCCUUUCUCUAAAGUAAAGCUCAAUGUCUUUCUCCCAAACUGGCUGCUCUGUCAGAAUCUUACCACCUCCCUGUUUACUCGCAUUCAAAACCUCCUUAAGUCCCAACAUCUAAGUCAUAUGCGUGUGGCUUCUUGAACACCCUCAGACGCAUCUCUCUGACACAGCCAACUGCCAACAGGUUGACCCAGCCAGACAUCUCACUCUCUGCCCUAGAAUGUCUAGGCUACUUCUGGCAUCUCCCUAAAAUAAAUUUUGCAUAACAUUGCCAACUAAAUCUGCCGGAAGCACAGCUCUGCUGAUGUCACUCUGACAUCAGAACCUUUCAAUAGUUCCAUCUGCUACCAAAAGCAGUCUACACUUCUGCUCUAGCUUUCCCCUUCCUUGUGAUAACCAGCUCUCCAGCCUCACUUCUGAAUACUUUAAGCUACAUGUGGAUGCAUGAAAUGUCCCAAUAUUAUUCUGGUGCCAUUACCCCUAAUUCUUCUUUUGCCUAGAAGAAUUCAUCUUCACUGAAAUCCUACCCUUCCUUCCAGGUCAAGCUAAAGUACCAUAUUCUCUACUAAAGAUUCCUUUUGCCAAUACUCCCAAUAGAAAAGCUGUUUUGUUUUUCCAUAAAACCUUGAUCAUACGAUACCGACUGAUUUGCUUCACUCUAUAAUUUUUGUACAUAUACUUUAUCUCUUAUGUUUGGCUCUGAGUUCAUUGAAGGCAGGGAUUCACUUUUGCCCUGGUUCAGGUUUGUAUCGCUCAAUUAGCAUAUUAUUAUUAGAUGGAUGGAUAGGUGAAUGGACAGAACUUAUGUUCUAUGCAUAAAGAGCUGAUACACAAAACUAUGGAGCACAGAGGUCUAUAAUCAAACCUUUAGCCAACAGGGAAAGAGUACUCUCUUUUCUCUUCAUACCCAUGAGUCCUGGAUAACCCCUGUCUAAGUUGUAAUGCUGGCAUUUAAAAGAGAUGCUUUAAAAAGCAGCAGGACCAACAAUAACAAGACUGAAUGGAUAAUGAUGAGAUAUUACUGUUUUCCAUAGAAAUCUGAAGACUUGGCAAUCUUGGAGAAGGGUGUUAAGCAAGGGAAGACCUGAGCAGUGUGGUGGAUAUAGAAAUCAGCCAAGUGAAGACAAGGAAAUUAAAAGAGAUUUACAGACAGUGGAAAACAGCCUUCACAUAUGCUCCUAGGUUUUGAGCAUGGAAUGUUGGGGAUAUGCAAUAGUUGAAGCGUAGAGUUCAAGGAACCUGGUGAUAAGAAAUAAGGCUGAAGAGGUGGAGACAGCCAUUCAUUCAAUAUUGGCAACUUUCUAAAAACAACUCCCUUGUAUAAUUUACCACCUUUUGCCUGAGUCUGCAUUGUUCCCCUCAGAGACCAGUUAUUGGGAAGACUCAGAAGGUCCAGAGCUGAUGAGUGUUGGCAUCGGCAAGAACAACAACCAAACUGAACCAAGGGCUUAGCUUAUUGGAAAAUUGCAGUUGGUGUUGGAAUUAGAAUGGUUGCGGGGUUUCACUACAAUAUCACAACUAGAGGUGGGGUGGAGGGGAGAUACUCAGACACUUAGUGAAGGAACAGGUGUGCAGAAGCUACUGUCAGCCAAUCAGAAUCGCCGACUGCAAUCUGAGCUUCACUUUUCUCAAAGGAACAAGUAGAACUAGCAGCAAUGACAACCAUACAACAGACACUGCUCAGGUAUCAGGCAUGGUGCUAAGCACAUAAUAUGAGAUUCUCUCCUCAUCACAACUGUAUUCAGGAGGUGUUACCUAUCCAUAUUGUACAGAUGAGGAAACUAAGGUGUGUAGGGGCUAAGAAACAUGCCCAACUUCAUACAGGCAGUACACAUCUGAGCUGGGUUCCCAAUCACAGCAGAUGCAUGCCCCAGGGCACUAUACUACGUAUUCCCUUCCUCCUUCUGCAUAUCAGGGCUUUACUCCCAAGUUUACAUAAGGCUGGUGGGGCAUCACAAGAAUUGAAAAAUCAGGCUCAAUGGGAAAAGAGAAAUUAAAAGGCUAUUGCUGCCGGGCCCUAAUUAUAUACAAUCAGGGAAAAGAAUCAGCUUGGAAGGCCAGCAAGUUAUCCACAGCCCCAGAGUACUGUCUGAAACUAACAAUCAGGAUGGACAGAGCCGUAAACAAGCCCUUGCAAUGACUACAGUAAUUACCCUGUUCUGUAAUUAUAAUAAGAAUGAGAAAUCAAUGCAUUACAGAAAGGGCAGCUACACACUUCUCUAUAACCCUGCAACUCAGAGAGCCCAGGGAGAACCUUCUGGGGCGGUGGCUCCCAUCCACCAGCCCCAGAAGCACCAGGUCAGGGAGAAGCUGAAGAGUCAGACAUCAAGGGCUCUUGGAAGAAAAGAAUUUUGAUACAGUUCUUCAAGGAAGCGGCAAAUGUAACGUAGAAUAAGGGCCUCGGGGCAUUGCACGGAAGGCGUAAAGAGCUUAAAGGGAAUGACAGCAACCUCUGUACAUGAGUAAUGACCACAGAAACGGCAGAGCUGCAGCCCACCUCUCACACGGGCACAGACCCUCUGCACAGUGACAAACACAAGACCAGAUGCCCAGGUCUCCCUGCAAGGCAAGAUUCGUUGUUCUGGCUCCUGAGAGAGCUGUCAGCAGCCAGCCUUCAGCUGUCAGCCCUCUCAGGAAUUACCUCACCCAAAGUCACACAUCAAUGUCAGAUGGAGGCCAGGGUAUAAAGGCCGAGCCAUUCUGGCAAAAGCAGGAAAACUCUAGAUGGCCGGAUAGGCGCCAGAGCUCCUAUGUCACAGCGAGGCCUUCCCUCUGCCAUUCCUGCUUCUGCCCUCUCCCUUCCACAGGAGUUGAUCCAAAGCUUGCUCCCUAAUAAACAUGCCACAUGUCAGCUCUGUCUCAGAGACCAAAUCCCAGGGUAGCCAGCCCACCACAAGCACAUGGCCUGUGUUUUAAACAUAUCCCUGGAUUCUCCUAUUUCCCUACCUUAAUUUUACACAUCCCUCCAUAUUAGGCAACCAGAUUCAGGGAUCUUCUGGGAUGAAAGAGAGACUAAAGGGGUGACGGGGAAGGCGGAGACAGAAGGUAAAUGACCGAUAUUAUAAAGGGCUGGAGGGAAGGACAAAUCCUACAUAGACCGGGAGUUGGGUGGAGUUUCUGAGGGUGGAUAGAUGAGAGCAUGUGGGCAAAGAAGGAGUGUCCUGGAGACAAAACAGAUUUCAGGAGGAGUUACUAAAAUUAUGAAUUGUGUUCCCACCGGUGUUUUUCAAGAGACACAAGUAACUAUUGGAAUCGCUUUUUAAUUACGCUGAGUGCUGGAUUGUGCAUUUAAUAUGCGACUCCACACAGAAUUUGAGGCCCAGGCUUUUAUUAGGCGCAUUGGUCAAGGUAAUUAACAUCGGCUGCUUUAACAAACAUCCCCAGAUCACAGAGGCUUAACAAAGCAAAGGUUUCUUUCUCACAUCAGAAUCAAUUGAGGGUUGGGUGGCUCCUUUUGGCCACACUGUCACCCAGUCACUGGGUCCCUCUGCCACCCAGAUAGUUUCCCGUUUACUCCAACCUCAAAAAAUCUUUGAUCAAAUUUUCUCGACCUUGCUUUUAGCCCUGGGAGGCUGAUCUGUAUGGAUCUGUACGGAUCUCCUCUUGAGAGACUCUGGCCUGCAGUUGAGUUUGGUCAGUGGGUACCUAGGCAGGAGAUCAAAAGAAGGAAAAGGAGAGGGGGGUUUGCUCCUCCAGCUUCCUGCCCCUUCGGGUCACCUUGAGAGUACUGAGUCACUUGACAGAUGGUCACAGCUCUGUCUAGGUGGUUCUCUCUACACCCCUCAUUGUCUCCAGGCUCUUUAACUGUGCUUGCACUUGCCCCCUCAGGCCUCAGAUUAGUAACAGCCCUCCUGUCCUUAGUGGCAGAGCCCUGUAACAUCCCUCGUGGUUUUCCUAAACCCCACCCUCACCUUUAUCAAUAGCCAUUUCAUUAAACUCCCUUGGAUGAUGCUAACUCGAAUGUAUCUUUUGUUUCAUGCUGCAACCAGGAAACACCCCAGGAAAGAGAGCUGGGGGCAGAGUAUGGUGUGUGCCCAGGACAGACAGACAGGACUUGGCAUUUGGUGCCCUGGCAUUUUCUCUGUCAUCCUCUUCCAGCAGUUUUCCUUUUGUCUGGAGAAGCAAACACUAGUUAGAUGUCACGAUGGUUUUCUGAACCUCUUUUUCAUAUUUUACACUACAAUUAUACACGAAGUUUUUAUAGUGCUUUAUUUUCUUAUUUUCAUUCAGCUCAAAAUAUAAUUGUAUUUCCCUUGAGACUUCCUCUUUGACCCAUGGACUAUUUAGAACUGCAAUGUUUAGUUUCCACAUGUUUGGAGUUUUUCCCCUUAUCUUUCUGUUACUGAUUUCAAUUUUGAUUCCACAUGGUCAGAGGAUUCCUGUUGUGUGAUUUCAAACCUUUUGAAUUUCUUGAGGUUUGUUUUGUGGCCCUGGAUGGUCUGUCUUGGUGAUUGUGCCCUGGGUACUUGAAAAGCAUCUGGAUUCUGCUGUUGGUGGAUAGAGUGUUCUAAGCUAACUAGACCCUGUCAGUUGACGGUACUGGGUUCUUCUGUAUCCUUUGCUGAUUUUCUCACUGUUCUAUCAAUUGUUAAAGACAGAGAUGUUGAAAUCUCCAACUACAAUUGUGGAUUUGUCUAUUUCUCCUCUUAGUUUUAUCAAGUUUUGUUUUCCAUGUUUUGUGGCGCUGUUGUUAAAUGCAUACACAUUUAAGAUUACUACAUCUUCUUUGUAGACUAACCCUUUUACAUUAUGCAAGGUCUCUCUCUGUCCUUGGUAAUUUUCCUUGCUCUGAAGCCCCUUUGAUCUGAUGUUAAGAUAGCCACUCCUGCUCUGCUUUGUUUUGAUUACUGACAUACCAUUUUCUUAUUUUCAUCCUUUACUUUUCCUGUCUGUAGUGUUGCAUUUGAAGUAGGUUCUUAUGGGUGGCACGCAGUUGUAUCAUGUUUUUUUCUUUUUUACCCACUAUCGAUCUCUGGAUUUUCUAAUUAAUGCAUUUAGACGAUGAAAUUCAAUGCAUUUAAUGAUACGUUAGGGCUUAAGUUCUGCCAUGUAAUUUUUUGUUUUCUAUUUGUUCCUUCUGUUUUACAUUUCUGUUUCCUUUUUCCUGCCUUCACCUGGGUUACCUGAACAUUUUUUUUCCUUUUUUAUUUAGUUAAAUUCAAGUUAGUUAACAUAUACUGUAGUAUUGAUUUCAGGAGUAGAAUUUAGUGAUUCAUCACUUACAUACAAUACCUAGUGCUCAUCACAAGUUCCUUCCUUAAUGCCCCUUGCCCAUUUAGCCCACCCCCCACCCAUCUCCCCUCCAGCAACCCUCACUUCGCUCUCUGUAUUUAGAGUCUCUUGUAGUUUGUCUCCUUCUGUUUUUAUUUUAUUUUAUUUUAUUUUUGCUUCUUUCCCCUAUGUUCAUCUGUUCUAUUUCUUAAAUUCCACAUGAGUGAAACCACGUAUUUGUCUUUCUCUGACUUAUUUCUCUUAGCAUAAUACAUUCUAAUUCCAACCACCUUGUUGCAAAUGGCAAGAUUUCAUUCUUUUUUGAUCGCUAAGUAAUAUUUCAUUGUGUGUACGUGCGUGUGUGUGUGUACACCACAUCUUCUUUAUCCAUUCAUCAGUUGAUGGACAUUUGGGCUCUUUCUGUAACUUGGCUAUUGUUGAUAGAAAUGGAAGGAAAACUUCUAAAGUCAUUCUAUGAGGCCAGCAUUACCUUGAUUCCCAAACCAGACAAAAACUCCACUAAAAAGGAGAAUUACAGACCAAUUUCCCUGAUGAACAUGAAUGUAAAAAUUCUCAACAAGAUACUAGCAAAUUGAAUACAAUAAUGCAUUAAAAGAAUUAUUCACCAUGAUCAAGUGGGAUUUAUUCCUGGGCUGCAGGGGUGGUUCAAUACCCACAAAUCAAUCAACAUGAUACAACACAUUAAUAAAAGAAAGGAUAAGAACCAUAUGUUCUUCUCAAUAGAUGCAGAAAAAGCAUUUGACAAAAUACAGCAUCCUUUCUUAACAAAAACCCUCAAGAAAGUAGGGAUAGAAGGAACAUACCUCAACAUCAUAAAGGCCAUAUAUGAAAGACGCACAGCUAUUAUCAUCUUCAAUGGGGAAAAACUGAGAGCUUUCCCCCUAAAGUCAGGAACACAACAGGGAUAUCUACUCUCACCACUGUGGUUCAACAGAGUCCCAGACGUCCCAGCCUCAGCAAUCAGACAACGAAAAGAAAUAAAAGGCAUAAAAAUUGGCAAGGAAGAAGUCAAACUUUCACUCUUCGCAGACACCAUCAUGCUCUACAUGGAAAACCUGAAAGACUCCACCAAAAAACUUCUAGAACUGAUACAUGAAUUCAGCAAAGUCACAGGAUAUAAAAUCAACAUACAGAAAUCGGUUGCAUUUCUAUACACCAAUAAUGAAACAACAGAAAGAGAAAUUAAGGAAUUGAUACCAUUUACAAUUGCACCAAAACCCAUAAGAUACCUAGGAAUAAACCUAACCAAAGAGGUAAAAUAUCCAUACGCUGAAAACCAUAGCAAGCUUAUGAAACAAAUGGAAGAAGACACAACAACAUGGAAAAACAUUGCAUGCUCAUGUACUGGAAGAAAAAAUACUGUUAAAAUGUCUAUACCACACAAAGCAAUCUACACAUUCAAUGCAAUCCCUAUCAAAAUAACACCAGAAUUCUUCACAGAGCUAGAACAAACAAUUCUAAAAUUUGUAUGGAACUGGAAAAGACCCCGAAUAGUCCAAGUAAUGUUGAAAAAGAAUACCUGAGCAUUUUUGUACACAAUUUCUUCUUUUAUCAUUUCUUCUCUGCUUAGGAAAAUUCCAUCUCACCAUUCUUAUAAGGUAGGUCAGCUGGUGACAGAAGGUCUCUUAGUUUUCCUUCAUCUUAGAAUGUCUUCAUUGCUCCUUCAUUCCUGAGGGAUAUUUUCACUGGAUAUAUAUUUCUGGGUUGACAUAUCUUUUCUUUCAGCAUUUGAAAAAUAUUGUGCCAUUUCUUUCUGGCCUCCCUACUUCCUGAUAAGAAGUCUACUGUCAUCCAAAUUGUCUUUCCCCUCUGGGUAUGGUAUGGUUUCUUCCUGGCUAUUAUCAAGAAUGUUUCUUUGUCUUCAGUUUUCAGAAGUUUGACUAUGACGUGUCUUCAUGUGGAUUUCUUGGGAUUAUUCUACUUGGUGUUUGCUCAGCUCCUUGAAUCUGAGGUUUAGGUCUUUUACCAAAUUUAGGAAAUUUUCAGCCAUUAUUUUUACAAAUCCUUUUUCAGCUCCACCUUUCUCCUGGCCUUCUGUGACUAACACGACCUUUUAUUAUAAUCUCCAGGAUUUUGUUCAUUUUUUUAAAGUCUAUUUUCACUUUGUGGUUCAGACUGAGUAAUUUUUAUUGUUCUAUCUUCACAUUCACUGAUUUCUUUACUCUGUUCUCACCAUUCUGCUGUCCAGCCUAUCCACUGGGGGGGGGGGGGGGCGGGUUGUUGUAAAUUGAAUUAUACAUUUCAGUUCUGAAAUUUCAAUUUGAUUCUCCCUUAUAACUUCUUUUCUUUCUGAAACAUUCUCUUUGCUGAACUUUCCUUUUUUUUUUUUUUCAUUUGUUCCAAGGAUGUUCAUAAUUGUUCACUGAGGCAUUUUGAUGUUAGCUGCUUUAAAAUCCUUGUCAGAUGAUUCCAACAUCUGUGUCAUCCAGACGUAGGCAUCUGUCAAUUGUCUUUUCUCAUUCACAUGGAGAUUUUCCUGCUUCCAGGUAGGAUGGGUGAUUUUCACUUGUAUCUUGAACAUUUUUCUAUCAUAUCAAGAGACUCUGGUUCUUCUUUACGUCUUGCUUUUUAGCAGCCCUCCUCUGACUCGUGCCACCUCAGUACUGCCAGGUGAUGAUGAAAGUCCAGUUCCCCAUUGAGCCUCCAUCUGGCGGGGAGGGAUGCCUCGUUACAGCUGAAGGGUGGGACUCCAGGCUCCCCAUUAGGCCUCCACUGACACCACAUCACGGCUGGUGAGAGAGGGGUACCUCAUCUCAUUAUUAUUCAUUCCCUUUGGUGAAAGUGGACAUCUCAACUCUCUGCUUGGCCUUUGCUGAUGGGGCUGGGGGUAAGUGUCAUAGGUUUUUCUCAUGGUGUUUGGAUGGUCUGUCUUACUACACUGCCCCUUUCCUGGUCUUUGGAGAGAGAGGACUUUUCUCAGAGACUUGUUUCUUUGUCUGAACCCAUUAGCACUUCCAGGUUUACUACCUUCUCUAGAAUCUAGUCCAGGAUAGAUGAGGCAAAAUGAAACCUCAAGGAACUUAUUGCUGUGUCUUGGGUCUCAAAACUGGUCUUUCUCCUCUCCACUUUCCAGAAUAUACUUAUGUUUCCUUUAUGGAUAAUGUCCAAAGAUUUGUGCUAUACUUAGUGGGAGGAGUAAGAAGUGGUCCUUCAUAUAGACAUACAUAUAGAUAUAGAUAGAUAUAGACAUAUAUAGAGAUACAGAUAUAUAUGACUGUGAAUACAGAUAUAUAUAACUGUGAAUUCAGUUAUAUAUAUAGUUAAUAUAAUAGAGUUAUAUUAACUCUAGAGUAAUAUAACAUGCAUAUUAUAAAAUAUAUACACAACAUAAAAAAGAUGAAAUUUUCAAAAAGUAAUCUAAAACAAAAUUCUGUAGAUCACCUUGUGCAUCAUACCGGAAACCAUUGCUUAGAUUCCAUUUGAAGGGCAGAGAGAAAAGGGCCUUCCUUCCACUACUAGCCCCUGGGUUCUGCUGUGUUCCACAGACACCCCUCGAGAGCCUGUCCCCAUGCUGUUCAGACAUGUGUUCCUUCUGUGUGGCUCGUGAGCAGAUCAUGAAGACAAACUGUGGGUAUGACCCUCUGCUCUACAGGGUACCCAAGGAGGGACAGAUGAGCUGGCUCUGUUCAGCCUUAAUGUACCCCCUACGAGGCAAGCCAGUUACAUUAACAAACAAGAUCCUGAAAGGGACACAAAUCAAUCAGAGAAGACUUAUGUAGUGACUCUUUCUACAUGGGUAGCUGUAGUUUAAAGCACUCAAAAGAAAAUCAGAAAAUCCAUUCCCAAGCUCGAGUCCUGCUGAGUCUCUAUGGCCUCCAGCAGCUCAGGCUGUUCUUCAAGGGUGGUGCUGAUGACACUGCAACACUUCACAUUUUUAAAUGGCCUGAGGUGAAGGUAGGGGAGGCUAUGACCCUUGGGGCAGGAUUUCAAGCCAAACUGGAAGACAGUGACCUCAAACGACUGUACCUGCUCUACUUCAUAGGCUUGAAAAAUUCCCCAUCCUUCUCUCCAUGCCCCUCCACACUCAAGGGUAUGUAAGCACUUACCUGCACUUAGCAACUGCUUACUUAGCGUCUACUCUAUAUGAGGCAACAUGCAAAGCGCGGCAUUGAGAGAGACCACCAAUCCAGACCCAGUCCUAUUCUGAUCUAAUGAGAGAGGUUCUUCUGCUGACGCUCUACUGCUUUAACUUACAGAAGGCAAAUUAUAACACGUGUGCUACUGCCCUCCUCACCCACAGUGAACAUGGCUAAUUAAUCAUGUCACCACGAUGUACCACUGAGCCUGGAUUUGGCCCCAGAUUCCUUCAGAACACAUUUUCCCCUGUAAUGACUACCAAUCAAUGACAGUUGCCCCACAAGAUGAGAGUAUGUGCCAUCUUCAGAAAAAGUCUCUGGUCUCUACUCCAGCUCUGUUCUCAUUUAGAUCCUUUCCAUGGUUUGUGGAGCAUAAAAGGAGUCCAUAUUUCUGAGAUUUCAUACUUAUCAUCUGGAAAUGCUCUGAUUGGUGGAGGACUUGGCAUGCAGUAGAUUAUGCCUGGUGUGGCUCCUCCUUACAAAGUGAUACAGGUCAUCUGUAAGGCAGUGUUAUUCCUUCUUCCUCCAAGAUAUUACCUUGAAGUAAACUACAAACUUAAGAACAAAGUUAACAUUUAAUGAAAAAAAAAUUUUUUAAGUCUAACUGUAUAGCUGUAGGCUCCUUUGGGAAAGCCUUACUUUUCUCCCAGGCUCCCAGAUCUCACGGACAUCUCAGCGAGUGAAAAAUGAGCAACCCCACGUCUCACACACACACUCUCCUCUGCCCUGAGCUGGCUGGGCUGGCUAUGUCUGACGGCUGGGAUAUGGAACGGCACCAACCUUCCUAAUGGCAAUUCCAGCCACAUCUUGUCAGCAGAAACUAUGUGUUUGUGGUCUGCUAACAUGCAAUGGAACUGCAGGAAACACAAAUUUGCAGCAAAAAUAUGAAUUGCAUUUCUGUAACUUUUUUUUUUUAGGAGUACAGUUGAUUCUCAUUAUCCACGGUACUUAUGUUCAAUAGCAUCACAAUAAAUAUCGAACUAGCAAAUACUGAGCCAUGCUCCUGGGGAAAUACGAAAUUAGGAUCCUCUAAGCCCUGGCCAUGAUAUUUUCACCAACCAAUCAAACCAGAACCUUAUUUUCUGUGCAACUCUAUUUAAAGACACAUUAUUUAUCAUACAUUACUGAUUCAUUCACAUCAAAUGCAUGACUAAAGGCACUAUAACCCAUGCCCGAAGGAAACUUAUCUAGCACACAUAUUUUCUGCAUAUGGCACAUCACAGCCUUCUCGCACUUAUGAACACUAGACAGUAAUUUAGCACUUGUGGGCCAUUUUAAAUAGCAAGAUCACCUCCCAAAAAAGCACAAAAAUGCACUAAAACAUGGCAAGAAGGACAGUUGUUUGCAGGAUGAGAGCUGAAACAAUACAGACACUCCCUCCAUCCCACCUCAGCUGGAAACGUGUAUAUCAGACAAAAUUUUCUACUGCUUUGCCCACGUAUGCAAAUAACCACAAACGUGCCACAAGUAUUGAUUUGGAGAUUACAAAUAAAUUUUAGCAAGUAGGCAGAUUCAGAAAUAGAGAAUCUGCAAAUAACGAGGAUCAACUGUAUUUAUUAUGUUACUGCCAUGAUUCAUUUUAAGCUGUGUACCAUCUGUAACGUUAGGAGGUCAAGAGAAUCUCCAAAGACUCUAGUAUAAAAAACUGUUUUCAAACAUUUGCUGCAAAUCCACAAGAAAUGUAAAGUUCUAACUGAACCUGUUGUGGAUUUUCGUGUCUCCCUGAACCACUCUACUCCCUGCUCCCAAUGUAUUUCUAAGUUAUAGCAUAUUCAUAGCAAAUGCCUACUUAGGAUUUCUUCAUAUUGUUUAAAUUUUUCUUUCUUUUUUUUCCCCUUUCUUUCUUUUUUUCUUUCACUGCCAUUUAAGCAUUCCUGUGGCAUGCAUCACCAUUUUAAUUUGUUUGCUUACUUCAGACAGUUUUGCUAAUUCUGAGCAGUUAAGCAGAGGCCCUGGUGAGGGUGAAAGAGCCUCCACCCACCAGAGUGUCUAAGCCUGUGUGAUCUAAGUUUUGUGGCCUCAGCGAGAAGCCUUGUUUCAUCUUUCUCCUUUCUCCGUAGGAGCUUGAGCUUCUUGGAACCAACCAUCCUUGAGCUUCUCAGGAACCUGUGCCUGGGAAAAGGAUCAUAUGAUACUGCACUCUGGGGACCACUUCGCAGGAUGGGGGCAGAUGAGAGACUGGUAGGAUGAGAAACUGAAACUGGGUUGGGUACUGCAACAGUCCUAGCCCAUAUUCUUUCCCAUUCAUCUGUGAAGUAUGUUUGGCCAAGAGAAAUCAGCACCUAGAAGAUGAAGCAACAUCAUGCCAGGGUACCUUACGGUAUACUCUUCAAGAAGGCGUCUCAAUUUAGAGGCUUUGUGCCAGCUGCAAAUCCUAUAGGGAAUACCCAAGCACGACUUUUCCAUUGAGAGGUGAGAAAUGGCCACGCCACCUCUCACUGGGAAUGUGUCUGGUUCGGCUUCCUGGUACCUCAAGAUCCAUUCCCCGGAUGCUAAGGACUGUGGGAAUGGAGAGGAUUUCAUAAAAAAGAAACUCCAAAGGAAAAGUUACAUUGAAAUGCUGUGUGUCUGACACAAAGCUAGGCACAUAGUGAGCCCUUGACUAAUAUGUAUUUAAUCAACUGAAAAUACCCCCUGGGGGAGAAAGAAAUAGAAAGGAAGAGAGAGAGAGAGAAAUAGAGAAGGAAAGAAGGAAGGAAGGAAGGAAGGAAGGAAGGAAGGAAGGAAGGAAGGAAGGAAGGAAAAGGAAGGAAGGAAAAGAAAGACAGCCCCAGCAGCUUACUACACAGAUUUCCACUACAGGCGAAGUGGUGGUGGGCUCGACACGGUGACAUCAGCAUGUCAAGCUGUGCAGGUGUACGUGGGCAGAUGUUUGGGGAGAAGCCCACGCAUACAGAUUCUCUUAUCUUCACCACCCCCCUUUGCCGUCCUCUGCCUCUCACACAUCCUGGACUUCACACACAACAUGGAUGCCCAGCUCCAAGAUGAAGUGUUGGGGUAGAAGAGGGAGCAGGGCCUUCGUGUGAAGCGCCUCCUGGAAAUGCACCGUGGGGUUGUUUUCUGUGCGGGAAACGUUUACACCAAGCGUUUCCCCAUUUCCCAUUCUGAUCUCAUCUGGUUAGCAGCCUCCACUUCCAGCUUUGCGUAACUCUCUUUGCCAGCUGCAGAAAGCAGACUUUUUCCAAAAUCUAACGAACAAAUUGGCCUGGCUAGGCUAGUAACUGUUUUGUUUUUACUUUCUUACUAUGUCUUUUGGGAACAUAAAGCCAUAUUUAUAUUUUAUAUUUGAAAAUGAAAGGAAUACUAAUACAUCAUAAAAGUGCCUUCAUGCACACAAUGUCUCCAGUAAAGGGCUUGACAAAUGUCCAUUAAGUAGAUGCUGCAUCCCACGUUCUACUUGAUUUGUCAUUUUAUUUUCAGCAUCUCAGCUGGUACACAAACGGAGUUACAGUAGCACAGGCUUGUGUUUCUCCCAGCAUCGCGCAUGCAGGUUUCCUGUACCGCUCACUUGCUACUAUUACAGCUCAGGUAGGAAAUGGCCAGAAGUUACCAGUUGGGAAUGAUGACAUUAACGAGUAAAUGGCAACACGCGAGCAGUCCACCAGCAUCAGGCGUGAGUUUAUGUGGACACACUCUGUAGGGAGAUGGAUUUUUCUGCAUCAUACGCAGUCUACUUACAUUUUCGUUACGUAACAACUUUCUAUGAGAACGGCGAUUAAUUUGUAAACACUGCCAGAGUAUUUUCUAUCUGGUUUGUGAUUUUUGAGAGUGCAUUUUGUGGUUGUGUUUUGUCGUGGUUCUUGUUUUCGUUUCUGUUUUAAGAGUAGAUCUGUACAUAAAAUUGUAGUAGUUAAAGCUUUGCCUUUUUGGGAAAAGUAAUAACUAAGCGUGUGCAGGGCAACUGGUGUUUAUGGGAGGAGACACCUGAGGGGAGAUGCUUUAAAAGAGAAGUCAGGGGAUAUGAAUGGACACUUUUUCAAAAAAGACAUCCAGAUGGCUAACAGACACAAGAAAAGAUGCUCAACAUCACUCAUCAUCAGGGAAAUACAAAUCAAAACCACAAUGAGAUAUCAUCUCACACCUGUCAGAAUGACUAAAAUUCACAGCUCGGGAAACAACAGAUGUUGCCAAGGAUGCAGAGAAAGGGGAUCCCUUCUGCACUGCUGGUGGGAAUACAAACUAGGGCAGCCACCCUGGAAAACAGUAUGGCGGUUCCUCAAGAAAUUAAAAAUAGAACUACCCUAAGACCCAACAAUUGCCCUACUAGGUAUUUAUACAAAUGUUACAAAAAUGCUGAUCCACAGGGACACGGGGACCCCAAUAUUUACAGCAGCGCUAUCGACAAAAGCCAAAGUAUGGAAACAGCCCAAAUGUCCACCGACUGAUGAAUGAAGAAGAUGUGGCAUAUAUGUAACGGAAUAUUACUCAGUGAUCAAAAAGAAUGAAGUCUUGCCAUUUGCAACAACGUGGAUGGAACUAGAGUGAUGCUAAGCGAAAUAAGUCAGUCAGAGAAAGACAAAUACGACUUAACUCAUAUGUGGAAUCUAAGGAACAAAACAGAU